GCGGAUAUAGUUUAAGUAAAACGUUACGUUGUGGGUGUAAAGUUAGAUUAAUUAUCUUGUUCGUA
rnacentral:tRNA from 1 species